GUUGAACGCUGGCGGCAUGCCUUACACAUGCAAGUCGAACGGUAACGCGGGGCAACCUGGCGACGAGUGGCGAACGGGUGAGUAAUGCGUCGGAACGUACCCAGUAGUGGGGGAUAGCCCGGCGAAAGCCGGAUUAAUACCGCAUACGACCUACGGGUGAAAGCGGGGGACCGUAAGGCCUCGCGCUAUUGGAGCGGCCGAUGUCAGAUUAGGUUGUUGGUGGGGUAAAAGCCUACCAAGCCGACGAUCUGUAGCUGGUCUGAGAGGACGACCAGCCACACUGGGACUGAGACACGGCCCAGACUCCUACGGGAGGCAGCAGUGGGGAAUUUUGGACAAUGGGGGCAACCCUGAUCCAGCCAUGCCGCGUGCGGGAAGAAGGCCUUCGGGUUGUAAACCGCUUUUGUCAGGGAAGAAACGCUCUGGGCUAAUACCCCGGGGUAAUGACGGUACCUGAAGAAUAAGCACCGGCUAACUACGUGCCAGCCGCCGCCGUAACAC
rnacentral:rRNA from 1 species